AAUUCAGGGGAAGGGUAACAGGGGGAGAAUAUCACACUAUACAAAUCCAAAUGGAAGGCAAGUGCAAAAUAAUGAAAAAGUUUAGGCCAAAAUUGCAGGACAAGCUAAUAAAGUUUAACAAAAGUAGCCAUGCAUAUCCAGAAACAGUUUGGAGCAAAAACUGAAUGUCUAGCAUUAAAAAUCUAACUAAAGUGACCAUAGCAAUAUUAAUAAAAACAGUUGGAGCAAACUGAAAGUCAAUUAAUAAAGUUUAAUUAAAGUGGUAUCCAGAAAAAGCAGUUAGGAUUAAAACUGAAUGUCUAGCAUAAGGUGUCUAACUACAGUGACCAUAGCAAUAUUAAUAAAAACAGUUUGGAGCAAACUGAAUGUUAAGCAAUAAAUGUUUAACUAAUGACAAUUUG